rnacentral:rRNA from 1 species
AUUGAACGCUGGCGGCAGGCCUAACACAUGCAAGUCGAGCGGAGCGGCGGACGGGUGAGUAAUGCCUAGGAAUCUGACUGGCAGUGGGGGAUAGCGUACGGUAACGGACGCUAAUACCGCAUACUAUCAGAUGAGACUAGGUCGGAUUAGCUCGUUGGUGGGGUAAAGGCCUACCAAGGCGACGAUCCGUAACUGGUCUGAGUGGAUGAUCAGCCACACUGGAACUUAGAAACGGUCCAGACUCCUACGGAAGGCAGCAGUGGGGAAUAUUGGACAAUGGGCGAAAGCCUGACCCAGCCAUGCCGCGUGUGUGAUGAAGUUCUUCGGAUUGUAAAGCUCUUUAAGUUGGGAAUCGUUACCUACACAAUAAGCAACGGCUAACUUCGUGCCAGCAGCCGCGGUAAUUC